GAAGAACCACCGAAGUUAGAGCUUAAACCAUUGCCAAAUCAUCUAAGGUAUGCAUAUCUUGGUGACUCGUCUAUUCUUCUUGUUAUUAUUUUCCCUGAUCUCACUAACAAGUAAGAAGAUAAGCUAUUGAGAGUUAUGAGAAAGUACAAGAAGACAUUGGGGUAGACAAUAGCAGACAUAAAAGGAAUAAGUCCUUCGAUAUGCAUGCCUAAAAUUUAAAGGAUGUAAUAACUCUAUUAUAUAGAGUUAUUUUAACCCAUUUUGAGACUUAAGUAUCUAGUUCUUUGAGAUUUUAGGUUUGGAUUUUAGUAUUUCAGGUGUUUUUCUUUGUUAAGUUUGGUUACAUGUUGAUUAGUUUAAUUUAAGUAUUUUUAGUUAAUUUUAUGUAAUUUGGUUUUAAACUACUUUAGUAUAGUGAUUGCUGAUAUUACUUAUUGUUCUUAAAGGAAAUUUAAUGAGAAAGGUUUAUUUGAUAAAAAUUCGUGCAAGUAUGGUGAUGGCUUCAUUCAUAUGUAUUGCAAUAUUGUGCAGAUAACUUGAACUACAAAAGUCUAAUUGAUGUGAUUCUUAAUCCAAUGGAAAGCUAAGAGGUAUGGAUGAAACUUUUAUGUUUACCAAUUUGCCCAGUUCGGAAUGGAUAGAGGUGAAAAUUAUGUUGAAAGAGGUUAGACUGCUACAGUUCUACACAAGGUAGUAUAAUGGAAUGAGGGCCGCGAUAUUGAUUUGCUCAAGGUUGUAGUGUCAUGAUGCAUUAGUGCAUGAUACAAAAUCCAAAAAGCAUAGCACCAUGGUGUUGAGGAGAGUAAAGCCAUGGCAUUAGUUGAAGUAAGGCUCCCAUAAUAGAGCUUGAGAGUAGAGCGUCGUGGUGCUAAGUAAGCAAGGCCAUGGGGUUGGAAGAAUAAAGCACAUUAUACAAAGGCUAGGGCGCCACAGUAGACCAAGGCCAUGAUGCUAGACAAAUUUCUAAAAUAAAUUGUUGACUAGAAUUUGGAAAUAAGAGUUUUUGGAGCUUAUUUAAAAGACUUUUUUCAUAGAUUUUAGAGGGUGGACGACAAGUAAUUAUUCUGGAGAAAAAGAGCCAAGAAUGUAGCAAGAAAGAACGAGACUUUAAGAGAGAAUUUAGAUUGAAAAGCAUCAACAAUUAAUUUCUAUUUCUAAUUUUGUGUUUCUUUUAAUUUCUUUGACUUGGAUUCAUGUCUAAUUUUCUUUAGAUGAUAUUUUUAUUUGUUAUUAUGAGCUAAACUAUUUUUCUAGGAUUGUGGUGGAUUUCAACAUGUAAUAUGAAU
rnacentral:lncRNA from 1 species